rnacentral:rRNA from 1 species
CAGAGGUGCCAAGCGUUAGGCGGAAUCACUGGGCUUAAAGCGCGUGUAGGUGGGUCGUUAAGUGUCCGCGUGAAAUCCCACGGCUCAACCGUGGAACUGCCGGGCAUACUGGCGAUCUUGAGGCAUUCAGGGGCGAGCGGAACAAGUGGUGGAGCGGUGGAAAUGCGUAGAUAUCACUUGGAACGCCAAUGGUGAAAACAGCUCGCUGGGAAUGAUCUGACACUGAGACGCGAAAGCCAGGGGAGCGAACGGGAUUAGAUACCCCGGUAGUCCUGGCCCUAAACGAUGUCCACUAGAUCGUGGCACCUCUGACGGUGUCAUGGUCGGAGCAAAAGUGUUAAGUGGACCGCCUGGGAAGUACGGUCGCAAGGCUA